AUUGGACGCUGGCGGCAGGCCUAACACAUGCAAGUCGAGCGGAUGAAGGGAGCUUGCUCCUGGAUUCAGCGGCGGACGGGUGAGUAAUGCCUAGGAAUCUGCCUGGUAGUGGGGGAUAACGUCCGGAAACGGCGCUAAUACCGCAUACGUCCUGAGGGAGAAAGUGGGGGAUCUUCGGACCUCACGCUAUCAGAUGAGCCUAGGUCGGAUUAGCUAGUUGGUGGGGUAAAGGCCUACCAAGGCGACGAUCCGUAACUGGUCUGAGAGGAUGAUCAGUCACACUGGAACUGAGACACGGUCCAGACUCCUACGGGAGGCAGCAGUGGGGAAUAUUGGACAAUGGGCGAAAGCCUGAUCCAGCCAUGCCGCGUGUGUGAAGAAGGUCUUCGGAUUGUAAAGCACUUUAAGUUGGGAGGAAGGGCAGUAAGUUAAUACCUUGCUGUUUUGACGUUACCAACAGAAUAAGCACCGGCUAACUUCGUG
rnacentral:rRNA from 1 species